rnacentral:misc_RNA from 1 species
AAGUCGUAACAAGGUUUUCCGUAGGUGAACCUGCGGAAGGAUCAUUACCAAAGAAGUAACAGAAAAUCCACUUCAGGGAGGCUGGACCUGUACGGACGUCUUGAACCCCUGGUUUGGGGACCCACCCUAUACCUGCGAAACGCCACCGUCCUAGCGGUGGCGGACGAUGAAUCAGGCACGGUGGCCCGUUUACCUUCACAUAAUUCCCUGCGUACCACUUCCACGUUGCUUCCCCGCAAUCCUCACUCAUUGGUGGACGACGGGGGAGGUCUCCAACAAAACGCACCUGCACUCAAUCAGCAGUCAGACGACCAAUGAUAAAUCAUUAAAAA